CAGUAGCCGCGGGAAUACGUAGGUGGCAAGCGUUGUCCGGAAUUAUUGGGCGGAAAGGGCUCGCAGGCGGUUUCUUAAGUCUGAUGUGAAAGCCCCCGGCUCAACCGGGGAGGGUCAUUGGAAACUACCAAGCUGGAGUACGGUAGGGGUAGAGGGAAUUCCCGGUGGAGCGGUGAAGUGCGUUGAGAUCGGAAAGAACACCAACGACGAAAGCACUCUGCUGGGCCGACACUGAUACUGAGAGACGAAAGCUAGGGGAGCAAAUGGGAUUAGAUACCCCUGUAGUCCCUGUCUCUUAUAA
rnacentral:rRNA from 1 species